rnacentral:rRNA from 1 species
AGUGAACGCGGGCGGUAGGCCUAACACAUGCAAGUCGAACGGCAGCACAGGAGAGCUUGCUCUCUGGGUGGCGAGUGGCGGACGGGUGAGGAAUACAUCGGAAUCUACUCUGUCGUGGGGGAUAACGUAGGGAAACUUACGCUAAUACCGCAUAUGACCUACGGGUGAAAGCAGGGGACCUUCGGGCCUUGCGCGAUUGAAUGAGCCGAUGUCGGAUUAGCUAGUUGGCGGGGUAAAGGCCCACCAAGGCGACGAUCCGUAGCUGGUCUGAGAGGAUGAUCAGCCACACUGGAACUGAGACACGGUCCAGACUCCUACGGGAGGCAGCAGUGGGGAAUAUUGGACAAUGGGCGCAAGCCUGAUCCAGCCAUACCGCGUGGGUGAAGAAGGCCUUCGGGUUGUAAAGCCCUUUUGUUGGGAAAGAAAUCCAGCUGGCUAAUACCCGGUUGGGAUGACGGUACCCAAAGAAUAAGCACCGGCUAACUUCGUGCCAGCCGCCGCAGUAA